rnacentral:misc_RNA from 1 species
GUAGGUGAACCUGCGGAAGGAUCAUUAGAGAUUGGCCUUCUGGCCGUGUCUGUUCCACACACACCGUGAACUUUUGUACGUCUUGGGGCUCUCGGGCCCCAGACGCCAAACACCGAAAACUUUAGUGUAAUGAAUGUAAAUCGUCGUAACAAAAACAAAACUUUCAACAACGGAUCUCUUGGCUCUCGCAUCGAUGAAGAACGCAGCAUCUGACUGACUCGGGCAUA